AUUGAACGCUGGCGGCAGGCCUAACACAUGCAAGUCGGGCGGUAGAGAGAAGCUUGCUUCUCUUGAGAGCGGCGGACGGGUGAGUAAUGCCUAGGAAUCUGCCUGGUAGUGGGGGAUAACGUUCGGAAACGGACGCUAAUACCGCAUACGUCCUACGGGAGAAAGCAGGGGACCUUCGGGCCUUGCGCUAUCAGAUGAGCCUAGGUCGGAUUAGCUAGUUGGUGAGGUAAUGGCUCGCCAAGGCGACGAUCCGUAACUGGUCUGAGAGGAUGAUCAGUCACACUGGAACUGAGACACGGUCCAGACUCCUACGGGAGGCAGCAGUGGGGAAUAUUGGACAAUGGGCGAAAGCCUGAUCCAGCCAUGCCGCGUGUGUGAAGAAGGUCUUCGGAUUGUAAAGCACUUUAAGUUGGGAGGAAGGGUUGUAGAUUAAUACUCUGCAAUUUUGACGUUACCGACAGAAUAAGCACCGGCUAACUCUGUGCCAGCAGCCGCGGUAAUACAGAGGGUGCAAGCGUUAAUCGGAAUUACUGGGCGUAAAGCGCGCGUAGGUGGUUUGUUAAGUUGGAUGUGAAAUCCCCGGGCUCAACCUGGGAACUGCAUUCAAAACUGACUGACUAGAGUAUGGUAGAGGGUGGUGGAAUUUCCUGUGUAGCGGUGAAAUGCGUAGAUAUAGGAAGGAACACCAGUGGCGAAGGCGACCACCUGGACUAAUACUGACACUGAGGUGCGAAAGCGUGGGGAGCAAACAGG
rnacentral:rRNA from 1 species